GACGAACGCUGGCGGCGUGCUUAACACAUGCAAGUCGAACGGAAAGGCCCUGCUUUUGUGGGGUGCUCGAGUGGCGAACGGGUGAGUAACACGUGAGUAACCUGCCCUUGACUUUGGGAUAACUUCAGGAAACUGGGGCUAAUACCGGAUAGGAGCUCCUGCUGCAUGGUGGGGGUUGGAAAGUUUCGGCGGUUGGGGAUGGACUCGCGGCUUAUCAGCUUGUUGGUGGGGUAGUGGCUUACCAAGGCUUGGACGGGUAGCCGGCCUGAGAGGGUGACCGGCAAAAUUGGGAUUGAGAUAAGGCCCAGACCAGUACGGGAGGCAGCAGUGCGGAAGAGUGCACAAUGGGCGGAAGCCUGAUGCAGCACCGCAGCGUGCGGGAAGACGGGCUUCGGGUUGUAAACCGAUUUCGCCUGAGACGAAGCGUGAGUGACGGUAACGGGUAAAGAAGCACCGGCUAACUACGUG
rnacentral:rRNA from 1 species